rnacentral:rRNA from 1 species
AACCUCCGCAAUGUGAGAAAUCGCGACGGGGGGAUCCCAAGUGCCAUUCUUAACGGGAUGGCUUUUCAUUAGUGUAAAGAGCUUUUGGAAUAAGGGCUGGGCAAGACCGGUGCCAGCCGCCGCGGUAACGCCGGCAGCUCUAGUGGUAGCAGUUUUUAUUGGGCCUAAAGCGUCCGUAGCCGGUUUAAUAAGUCUCUGGUGAAAUCCUGUAGCUUAACUGUGGGAAUUGCUGGAGAUACUAUUAGACUUGAGACCGGGAGAGGUUAGAGGUACUCCCAGGGUAGAGGUGAAAUUCUGUAAUCCUGGGAGGACCGCCUGUUGCGAAGGCGUCUAACUGGAACGGUUCUGACGGUGAGGGACGAAAGUUAGGGGCGCGAACCGGAUUAGGAUACCCGGGUAGUCCUAACCGUAAACGAUGCGGACUUGGUGUUGGGGUGGCUUUGAGCUGCUCCAGUGCCGAAGGGAAGCUGUUAAGUCCGCCGCCUGGGAAGUACGGUCGCAAGACUGAAACUUAAAGGAAUU